GUUAUGAUUCGAAUCUAUCCAUGCUUUCUGUGACUUCACCCCUCAUGAGCAUACACAGAUACACCAUUGUCAUAGUUACAAUGAAC
rnacentral:snoRNA from 1 species